rnacentral:rRNA from 1 species
GAUGAACGCUGACAGAAUGCUUAACACAUGCAAGUCUACUUGAACUUCGGUUUGGGUGGCGGACGGGUGAGUAACGCGUAAAGAACUUGCCUCACAGUUAGGGACAACAUUUGGAAACGAAUGCUAAUACCAGAUAUUAUGAUUUUAGGGCAUCCUAGGAUUAUGAAAGCUAUAUGUGCUGUGAGAGAGCUUUGCGUCCCAUUAGCUAGUUGGAGAGGUAACGGCUCACCAAGGCGAUGAUGGGUAGCCGGCCUGAGAGGGUGAACGGCCACAAGGGGACUGAGACACGGCCCUUACUCCUACGGGAGGCAGCAGUGGGGAAUAUUGGACAAUGGACCAAAAGUCUGAUCCAGCAAUUCUGUGUGCACGAUGACGUUUUUCGGAAUGUAAAGUGCUUUCAGUUGGGAAGAAAAAAAUGACGGUACCAACAGAAGAAGUGACGGCUAAAUACGUG